rnacentral:rRNA from 1 species
UACGGAGGGAGCUAGCGUUGUUCGGAAUUACUGGGCGUAAAGCGCACGUAGGCGGCUACUCAAGUCAGAGGUGAAAGCCCAGGGCUCAACCUUGGAACUGCCUUUGAAACUAGGUAGCUAGAAUUCUGGAGAGGUCAGUGGAAUUCCGAGUGUAGAGGUGAAAUUCGUAGAUAUUCGGAAGAACACCAGUGGCGAAGGCGAGUCCCUGGACAACACCUGACACUGAGGCACGAAAGCCGGGGGAGCAAACAGG